AGCCACAGGCUAAACCGCGAUGGCGGAGCUUGCUCUAGCCCUUUUGACGUCAAUGGAUUUCGAUUAUUAGGCGGAUUCGUUCCCAGACAGCCACAGGGGACUCGCGCUUUUCUUUCAUGCCCGCUCUGCUUUUCCCUCCCUUCCUCCCAAUCUUCAUACGUGAUGAGAACAAUUCUCAUCUCCUCCACUCCAGCCUGGGCCUCCCUGCACCAGCCUCUCUCGGGAGGUCUCUCUGUCCUGGUCCGCACCUCCUCUGCUUCUGUGGGGCCUCUCCGUAUUUCUGCUUUUCACCCCUCCUCUCUCCCGCCCCACCGACCGAGGCCGAGAAGCAUGCCAUACCUAAGACCUACUACCCUGAGAAGCAGUGAAGUGCUCCUGGGGCCCACCAAGGCCACACAAGUCAAGGAGUGGAUGGCCUUGCUCCAGCUACUGCUCAGAUCACCUUUGCAAGAUGACAUUGUGUUGGGAGAUGGUCAUCAGAGCCAGGGCCAUGGAAGAUGCUGUCAGGAGGCACGAGGAAAGGCUAUGGGAGCACAAAGCAAGAAAGUGGCCUUCUGCAAGCCAGGAAGAGAGGCCUCCCCAGAAACCAACUCUGUGAGCUCAUCGAUCUUUGACUUUUGGCCUCCAGAACAUUGAGAAAAUAAAAGUCU
rnacentral:lncRNA from 1 species